rnacentral:rRNA from 1 species
AACGAACGCUGGCGGCAUGCCUAACACAUGCAAGUCGAACGACACCUUCGGGUCUGCUUGCGCACGGGUGCGUAGCGCGGCGGACGCUUCCCGUAGGCAUGGGAUACCACUCUUUCGGGGGUGCUAAUGCCGGGAAAUUUCUUCUAACACAAGAUAUGUCGUCUUUGGUUGGGCCCGCGUUGGUUUGGCUUGUUGGUAUGGGAAAAGCCUAUCACGGCUACGAUCCUUAGCUGGUCUGAGAGGAAGAUAGGCGACACUGGGACUGAGACACGGCCGAGACUCCUACGGGAGGCAGCAGUGGGGAAUAUUGGAAAAUGGGCGAAAGCAUGAACCAGCAAUGCCGCGUGAGUGAUGAAGGCCUUAGGGUUGUAAAGCUCUUUUACCCGGGAUGAUAAUGACAGUACCGGGAGAAUAAGCUCCGGCUAACUCCGUG